UAGUUAAAUUUUAAAGGUAAAUUCUGCCCUAUGAUUAUUUAAAUGGCUGCAGUAUUCUGACUGUGCAAAGGUAGCAUAAUAAUUAGUCUUUUAAUUGAAGGCUUGUAUGAAUGAAUAUAUGAGAAAUUGAUUUUAUUUUUUUUAUUAUUAAAAUUUGAUUUUUUAGUAAGAAAGCUUAUAUUUUUUUUUGGGACGAUAAGACCCUAUAGAACUUUAAUUUUAUUAAUUUUUUAAUCUCUUUAGUUUAUAAAUUUUUUAAAUUUUAAUAAUAUUUUUUUUGGGGCGUAAAAUAAAUUUGACUUUAUUUUUUUAUUUCAUUCUAUUUAUGUUAUUUUGAUCCAUUUAUGAUUAUAAGAUUAAGUUACCUUAGGGAUAACAGCGUUAUUUUAAUGAGGAGUUCAUAUCUAUAUUAAAGUUUGCGACCUCGAUGUUGAAUUAAGAUUAGAUUGAGGGGUAG
rnacentral:rRNA from 1 species